rnacentral:rRNA from 1 species
AGAGUUUGAUCCUGGCUCAGGAUGAACGCUAGCGGCAGGCUUAAUACAUGCAAGUCGAGGGGCAGCACGGUUAGCAAUAACUGGUGGCGACCGGCGCACGGGUGCGUAACACGUAUACAAUCUACCUUAAACAGGGGGAUAGCCUUUCGAAAGAGAGAUUAAUACCCCGUAAUAAAUUGAACGGCAUCGUUUGAUUUUGAAAGCUCCGGCGGUUUGAGAUGAGUAUGCGUCUGAUUAGCUAGUUGGUGAGGUAACGGCUCACCAAGGCGACGAUCAGUAGGGGAUCUGAGAGGACUAACCCCCACACUGGUACUGAGACACGGACCAGACUCCUACGGGAGGCAGCAGUAAGGAAUAUUGGUCAAUGGGGGCAACCCUGAACCAGCCAUGCCGCGUGCAGGAUGACGGCCCUAUGGGUUGUAAACUGCUUUUAUACCAGAGAAAACCCGAGUACGUGUACUCGGUUGAUAGUAUGGUAAGAAUAAGCAUCGGCUAACUUCGUGCCAGCAGCCGCGGUAAGACGAAGGAUGCAAGCGUUAUCCGGAUUCAUUGGGUUUAAAGGGUGCGUAGGCGGACCUGUAAGUCAGUGGUGAAAUCUCUUUGCUUAACAAAGAAACUGCCAUUGAUACUGCAAGUCUAGAGUAUAGAUGACGUUGGCGGAAUAUGACAUGUAGUGGUGAAAUACUUAGAUAUGUCAUAGAACACCGAUUGCGAAGGCAGCUAACGAAACUAUAACUGACGCUGAGGCACGAAAGUGCGGGGAUCAAACAGGAUUAGAUACCCUGGUAGUCCGCACCGUAAACGAUGAUUACUCGUUGUUGGCAAUAUGACCGUCAGCGACCAAGCGAAAGCGAUAAGUAAUCCACCUGGGGAGUACGCCGGCAACGGUGAAACUCAAAGGAAUUGACGGGGGCCCGCACAAGCGGAGGAGCAUGUGGUUU